rnacentral:rRNA from 2 species
GGCGGACGGGUGAGUAACACGUGGGUAACCUGCCUGUAAGACUGGGAUAACUCCGGGAAACCGGGGCUAAUACCGGAUGCUUGAUUGAACCGCAUGGUUCAAUUAUAAAAGGUGGCUUUUAGCUACCACUUACAGAUGGACCCGCGGCGCAUUAGCUAGUUGGUGAGGUAACGGCUCACCAAGGCAACGAUGCGUAGCCGACCUGAGAGGGUGAUCGGCCACACUGGGACUGAGACACGGCCCAGACUCCUACGGGAGGCAGCAGUAGGGAAUCUUCCGCAAUGGACGAAAGUCUGACGGAGCAACGCCGCGUGAGUGAUGACCAGCAGCCGCGAGGUUUUCGGAUCGUAAAACUCUGUUGUUAGGGAAGAACAAGUACCGUUCGAAUAGGGCGGUACCUUGACGGUACCUAACCAGAAAGCCACGGCUAACUACGUGGUAAUACGUAGGUGGCAAGCGUUGUCCGGAAUUAUUGGGCGUAAAGCGCGCGCAGGCGGUUUCUUAAGUCUGAUGUGAAAGCCCCCGGCUCAACCGGGGAGGGUCAUUGGAAACUGGGGAACUUGAGUGCAGAAGAGGAGAGUGGAAUUCCACGU